rnacentral:lncRNA from 1 species
GGACACACUGUUGAGACCGGCAAUGCAUGCAUUGUUUUCCUCAUAAUGCAGUCAGGAUCGCCAUAGGAAAAUUGAGCAUAUUUUUUUUGAAGUCUUAUUUUAUAUAUUUUUGUCACCAUCAGCAGUUGAACUAAAGUAGGAACUGCUCCAUUCUAUGACGGGUUAAAUUCUGCUCUGUGCUGAUCUAGUGGUGAUGUAUAAAUUGCAGCCCUUUCUUUCUUUUUGAAGGAUUCUAAAAUAGUUUUGGAGAAUCAGUGCUGGAUUUUUGCUUCUGCAUGUGUGGUGACUCUUGAUUUUUUCCCUUUGGAGGAGCAUCCUUUGCAGCAUUCCCCCUUCCGAGGAAUCACUUAGACACUUCCAGCUGGUGGCAGGGGAUACAGCCAUAAUACAGCUUCCUCUGUCCCAGCUGUCUCCACUACGGUAAAUGCAUUAUGAUGGCUGCACCCGUGUGUCAAGGCUCAGGUGAAGGAAGGUGUAGGAUGGAGUCUGGACCCCACCGUUUGGCUUUCUAAAUGCUUCAGCUUCUCCAGCAUCUCUGCCUUUUGAAUGUCUUCCUGCUUCCAGUCAAAGGCUUUUCUCCAGUGAGUGGGAUGCUGCUGCACGCCUGAUUAAAGGUGCCUGAGGAUAUCACCUUUUACACGGAAGCCCUGCGUGCUUUAACAGGAUCUUUUUCAAUGCAUUAUGGCUCAUGCAGCCUCACAAUUAAAGAAAAACAGGGAUUUAGAGAUCAAUGCUGAAGAAGAGACUGAGAAAAAAAGAAAACAUCGCAAACGGUCCC